AUUAUAAUUAUUUUUUUCCCUUUUACCCUAAAUCCCCAAUCCCACGCCUCUCUCUCUCUCUCUCUCUCUCAGUCACGCCUCUCUCAGGACCAAACAUUUAAAAUAGUAGAAGCAUCACUAAGGGUUGAUGCUCGGGCUAGUGCAGGAUUUAAGAUUUCGCAAUCAAAACUUGUUGACUCGGUCAGAUACGAGAUUGGUGGCUAAAAGACAGUUUUUGUGGCGCUACUUGAACUCAAAUAAUUUUUUGUAAAGUAUGGAAGAUAACAUUUAUAUAUAAAUGGUUGUAAUUACUUUGUGAACAACUUGGUUUAAUGGUUUUAAGAGUUGAAUGGUUCUUUAUUUCC